ACGCACGCUGGCGGCGUGCUUAACCCCUGCACGUCGAACGGAAAGGCCCUGCUUGCAGGGUCCUCGAGUGGCGAACGGGUGAGUAACACGUGGGUGAUCUGCCCUGCACUUCGGGAUAAGCCUGGGAAACUGGGUCUAAUACCGGAUAUGACCUUCCAUGUAGUGUGGGGGGUGGAAAGAUUUAUCGGUGUGGGAUGAGCCCGCGGCCUAUCAGCUUGUUGGUGGGGUAAUGGCCUACCAAGGCGUCGACGGGUAGCCGGCCUGAGAGGGUGGACGGCCACAUUGGGACUGAGAUACGGCCCAGACUCCUACGGGAGGCAGCAGUGGGGAAUAUUGCACAAUGGGCGGAAGCCUUAUGCAGCGACGCCGCGUGGGGGAUGACGGCCUUCGGGUUGUAAACCUCUUUCGACAGGGACGAAGCUUCGGUGACGGUACCUGUAGAAGAAGCACCGGCUAACUACGUG
rnacentral:rRNA from 1 species